UAUGGGGAGUGAGAGUCGAACAGGCAACCAACACAAGCCAGCCAGAGGACAGCAGUCAAAUUUCUUCAAGAGAGCUGACAAAAGAUGAAGAAUCCAGCACUCUACAAUGAUUCUUCCACUGAUGAUAUAGGCUUCAUCUUUUAUAGCAGUGGGUCUCAUACUUCUUAUACCAAGUACUACCUGAGAAAAUAUUGAGCUCUCGAAGUAACAUCAUUAUCACCAAUGUUAAAAUACAGUGGUGUUAAUAGGGCGAGCAAAGUCAGGUACAGACAUUUCACAAGAGGCAAAUUUAUUCCCAUUAACCCUUAACCUUCAAAAAGGUUACGUUAACACGCCUAGAGCACAAAAUGGUGCUUGUAAAAGUACACACCUAUAAAAAUAGUAUACAUUUAUAUUUUUAAUUGU